rnacentral:rRNA from 1 species
UGAAUACGAGAUGCUACGGCGUCGAAGCAGUGUAUGUCAGACUUCCAAGAAAAGCUCGCAAUGUCAUAAAUAAAGAAUGCCUGUACCAUAACCGACACAGGUGGGUAGGUAGAGUAUACUAAGGGGCGCGAGAUAACUCUCUCUAAGGAACUCGGCAAAAUAACUCCGUAACUUCGGGAGAAGGAGUGCCUUCUUUAAGAAGGUUGCAAUAACAAGAUCCAAGCAACUGUUUAUCAAAAACACAGGUCUCCGCUAAGUCGUAAGACGAUGUAUGGGGGCUGACGCCUGCCCAGUGCCAGAAGGUUAAAGAAGUUGGUUAGCUUUUGCGAAGCUGAUGACUGAAGCCCUGGUGAACGGCGGCCGUAACGAUAACGGUCCUAAGGUAGCGAAAUUCCUUGUCGGGUAAGUUCCGACCCGCACGAAAGGCGUAAUGAUUUGGAUACUGUCUCGGAGAGGGACUCGGUGAAAUAGACUUGUCUGUGAAGAUGCGGACUACCUGCACCAGGACAGAAAGACCCUAUGAAGCUUUACUGUAACUUGAAAUUGAAAUUGGACUUUAUUUGCGCAGUAUAGGUGGAAGGCGUUGAAAGUAAUCUUGCGGGAUUAGUGGAGCCAUCAGUGAGAUACCACUCCUAUAAUGUUAGAUUUCUAACUUUGGAUCAUGAUCUGGUCAAAGAACAGUUUCAGGCGGGCAGUUUGACUGGGGCGGUCGCCUCCCAAAUGGUAACGGAGGCGUACAAAGGUUUCCUCUGAACGGGUAGAAAUCGUAUCUAGAGUGUAAAGGCAUAAGGAAGCUUGACUGUGAGACCUACAAGUCGAGCAGGGACGAAAGUCGGUCUUAGUGAUCUGACGGUGCUGAGUGGAAAGGCCGUCACUCAACGGAUAAAAGUUACUCUAAGGAUAACAGGCUGAUCUCCCCCAAGAGUUCACAUCGACGGGGAGGUUUGGCACCUCGAUGUCGGCUCAUCGCAUCCUGGGGCGGUAGUACGUCCCAAGGGUUGGGCUGUUCGCCCAUGAAAGCGGUACGCGAGCUGGGUUCAGAACGUCGUGAGACAGUUCGGUCCAUAUCCGGUGUAGGCGUUAGAAUAUUGAGAGGAGCCUUCUUUAGUACGAGAGGACCGAGAAGGACAUACCUCUGGUGUACCAGUUAUCGUGCCAACGGUAAACGCUGGGUAGCUAUGUAUGGAGAGGAUAACCGCUGAAAGCAUCUAAGUGGGAAGCCCACCUCAAGAUGAGUAUUCGC